UGAUUAUUAUCUGGAAUUAACUCUAGAAGUAAUGUAAAACACUGCACUUUUUAACAGGUUUCAAGUGAAGACGGGAAUCCUGUUUCAGAAUCAGAAAGAGUGGAACUUGAAUGAGCUUUCCGUGCCUUGAAAACUCCAUGGUGCUUGAUGAUGUCAUGUUACACUGGUAACAGAUGAGCCAUUUCUCAGUCGUGACUUCUGAAGACUUACAGCCUUAGUGCACUCCUAAGACACAGAGCCUUCUAAGAUCCAAGGACGUCAUCUUACCUGUCUUUUACCUUUUUUUGGAAGCAUCUAAAGAAAAACUGGAAACUGCAGUUUGGUUUAUAUGAAGAUAUAUGAAGAUAUAUGAAAA